rnacentral:tRNA from 1 species
GCCCGCCUAGCUCAAUCGGAUAGAGCGUCAGACUCUUAUGGGUCCUGUUACCUAGGGCAAUCUGAAGGCUGCGAGUUCGACCCUCGCGGUGGGCU